AAAUGGUUGUGGACUACGUCUGUGCGGCUGCGUGGGGCUCGGCCGCGCGGACUGAAGGAGACUGAAGGUGCUGGGGGGACCCUGAUGUGGCACCAAAUGAAAUGAACAAAGCUCCACAGUCCACAGGCCCCCCACCCGCCCCAUCCCCCGGACUCCCACAGCUUGGGUUUCUGCCCCACCUGGGCUUCCCCUCUUGCUGAACUCUGGUCUCCCCUCUUCAGCCAGCGUUUCCCCCGGGGCAGACAGCGCCGGUGGUGUUCAGUACGCCACAAGCGACACAAAUGAACACGCCUUCUCAGCCCCGCCAGCACUUCUACCCUAGCCGGGCCCAGCCCCCGAGCAGUGCAGCCUCCCGAGUGCAGAGUGCAGCCCCUGCCCGCCCUGGCCCAGCUGCCCAUGUCUACCCUGCUGGAUCCCAAGUAAUGAUGAUCCCUUCCCAGAUCUCCUACCCAGCCUCCCAGGGGGCCUACUACAUCCCUGGACAGGGGCGUUCCACAUACGUUGUCCCGACACAGCAGUACCCUGUGCAGCCAGGAGCCCCA
rnacentral:lncRNA from 1 species